AGAAACUAUCCCUAUUCUCUCCUAUGAUUUCUGUACAAUCAAUUUCGUGGCAGGUUCCCAUAAAAUCUGACACAAUAGGAAACCCCUAUUUCUAUGUUACAAUGAAAAGAAUAACUUUGAAUCUAGAUAUACUGGUUAGGCUUUAUACAAACUGAUGUUACACUUCUAAUUUACAGUUGCAUGGCGGUUAGGGCGAUCAUUGGCAAACACUGGACAUUGUGGCAACACCGAGUCCAGCAUGUUGGCUCUAUCCAAACUCGCGGUCUUGAUUGCAGCAGCUAUUUCAUAAUGUAGCAAAUUUCUCCAGGUUGGAAGCAUUCAUGAUCACUUACCAAUAACAAAAAAUCAAGUCGAUCUUUAUGGAGUGAGAGGUUGCUUGCAUCAUCCAAGAGCCCCGACAAUGAUGUCUCCGGUUCAGCUUCCUAUCUGCAAAUCAGUCACUGCACUCUGGUUUACAAGCCUCAACAUUCUUUCUUGAAUCCAAAGAAUGCCAAAGCACUUACACUAGGAGCCUUUUGGUCUGUCUUUGGCAGAUAUCUUCGGUUAACAUGGUCAACCAACAGACAGAUCGUUCACCCUGAAACAAUGAUAUCAUUCCCGAUUCACUUGAAACCCUUCUUAUUGAGAUUAACUCCUUUGGCGUUCUCUAUUUCUUCCUUUUGAACUUUCUUCCUUUCUAAUUCAGCCUGCUUCAAGUUCUCUUCGUGGGCUUUGCGGAACAGCCUUACAAAAUUUAAGAGGGUCGCCGUGACUUGCUCAAACGGACAACGGGCAGGAUCCUCACCGAAAUAUAGUGCAAGUGCAUCUGCA
rnacentral:misc_RNA from 1 species